rnacentral:rRNA from 1 species
CGCGGCCUAUCAGCUUGUUGGUGGGGUAAUGGCCUACCAAGGCGACGACGGGUAGCCGGCCUGAGAGGGCGACCGGCCACACUGGGACUGAGACACGGCCCAGACUCCUACGGGAGGCAGCAGUGGGGAAUAUUGCGCAAUGGGCGAAAGCCUGACGCAGCGACGCCGCGUGAGGGAUGAAGGCCUUCGGGUUGUAAACCUCUUUCAGCAGGGAAGAAGCGAAAGUGACGGUACCUGCAGAAGAAGCACCGGCUAACUACGUGCCAGCAGCCGCGGUAAUACGUAGGGUGCAAGCGUUGUCCGGAAUUAUUGGGCGUAAAGAGCUCGUAGGCGGUCUGUCGCGUCUGCUGUGAAAACUCGGGGCUUAACCCCGGGCCUGCAGUGGGUACGGGCAGACUAGAGUGCGGUAGGGGAGACUGGAAUUCCUGGUGUAGCGGUGAAAUGCGCAGAUAUCAGGAGGAACACCGGUGGCGAAGGCGGGUCUCUGGGCCGUAACUGACGCUGGGGAGCGAAAGCGUGGGGAGCGAACAGGAUUAGAUACCCUGGUAGUCCACGCCGUAAACGUUGGGCGCUAGGUGUGGGGCUCUUUCCACGAGUUCCGUGCCGCAGCUAACGCAUUAAGCGCCCCGCCUGGGGAGUACG